rnacentral:rRNA from 1 species
AUUGAACGCUGGCGGCAGGCCUAACACAUGCAAGUCGAGCGGAUGAAGCGGGGUUGCUCCUGGAUUCAGCGGCGGACGGUGGAGUAAUGCCUAGGAAUCUGCCUGGUAGUGGGGGAUAAGGUCGUGAAACGGCCGCUAACACCUCAGGCGUCCUGUGGUAGAAAGUGGGGGGGCUUCGGACCUCACGCUAUCAGAUGAGCGUAGGUUGGAUUAGCUAGUUGGUGGGGUAAAGGCCUAACAAGGCGGCGAUCCGUAACUGGUCUUAGAGGAAGAUCAGUCACACUGGAACAGAGAAAGGGUACAGACUCCUACGGGAGGCAGCAGUCGGGAAUAUUAGGCAAUGGGCGAAAGCCUGAUCCAGCAAAGCCGCGUGUGUGAAGAAGGUCUUAGGAUUGUAAAGCAAUUUAAGUUGGGAGGAAGGAAAGUACGUUAAUAUCUUACUGUUUUGACGUUACCAACAGAAUAAGCCCCGGCUAACUUCGUG